GACGUAGGAGGCGAGCGUUAUCCGGAUUCACUGGGCGUAAAGCGCAUGUAGGCGGCUCGAUAAGUCGUGUGUUAAAGCCCCUGGCUCAACUGGGGGGAGGUCAUGCGAGACUAUCGGACUUUGAGGGCAGUAGAGGCACGUGGAACUCCCGGUGUAGCGGUGGAAUGCGUAGAGAUCGGGAAGAACACCCGUGGCGAAGGCGACUACCCUGGCCUGUUCUUGACGCUGAGGCGCGAAAGCUAGGGGAGCAAACGGG
rnacentral:rRNA from 1 species